UACGAAGGGGGCUAGCGUUGCUCGGAUUGACUGGGCGGAAAGGGCGCGUAGGCGGUUCGUACAGUCAGACGUGAAAUUCCUGGGCUCAACCUGGGGGCUGCGUUUGAUACGUGCGGACUUGAGUGCGGAAGAGGGUCGUGGAAUUCCCAGUGUAGAGGUGAAAUUCGUAGAUAUUGGGAAGAACACCGGUGGCGAAGGCGGCGGCCUGGUCCGAUACUGACGCUGAGGCGCGAAAGCGUGGGGAGCAAACAGG
rnacentral:rRNA from 1 species